rnacentral:rRNA from 1 species
GAUGAACGCUAGCUACAGGCUUAACACAUGCAAGUCGAGGGGUAACGAGAGGGAAGCUUGCUUUCCUUGUCGACGACCGGCGCACGGGUGAGUAACGCGUAUCCAACCUGCCCCCAACUAGGGAAUAACCUUGCGAAAGUAAGACUAAUACCCUAUAAUUUCCUCAGAUGUCAUCUGACGAGGAAUAAAGAUUUAUCGGUUGUGGAUGGGGAUGCGUCUGAUUAGCUUGUUGGCGGGGUAACGGCCCACCAAGGCAACGAUCAGUAGGGGUUCUGAGAGGAAGGGCCCCCACAUUGGAACUGAGACACGGUCCAAACUCCUACGGGAGGCAGCAGUGAGGAAUAUUGGUCAAUGGGCGGAAGCCUGAACCAGCCAAGUAGCGUGCAGGAUGACGGCCCUAUGGGUUGUAAACUGCUUUUAUACGGGAAUAAAGUUAGCCACGUGUGGUUAUUUGUAGGUACUGUAUGAAUAAGGACCGGCUAAUUCCGUGCCAGCCGCCGCAGUAA